rnacentral:rRNA from 1 species
GUGGGGAAUAUUGGACAAUGGGCGCAAGCCUGAUCCAGCCAUGCCGCGUGAGUGAUGAAGGCCUUAGGGUUGUAAAGCUCUUUCAGUGGGGACGAUAAUGACGGUACCCACAGAAGAAGCCCCGGCUAACUUCGUGCCAGCAGCCGCGGUAAUACGAAGGGGGCUAGCGUUGUUCGGAUUUACUGGGCGUAAAGCGCACGUAGGCGGAUCGUUAAGUCGGGGGUGAAAUCCUGGAGCUCAACUCCAGAACUGCCUUCGAUACUGGCGAUCUUGAGUCCGGAAGAGGUGAGUGGAACUCCUAGUGUAGAGGUGGAAUUCGUAGAUAUUAGGAAGAACACCAGUGGCGAAGGCGGCUCACUGGUCCGGUACUGACGCUGAGGUGCGAAAGCGUGGGGAGCAAACAGGAUUAGAUACCCUAGUAGUCC